AAUAAAUUUAAUUAUAGUUUUUAGAAUAAUUAAAUUAAUUAUAUAUAUAUAUAUAUUUAUUUUAAAAAAAAUUAAUAAUUAAAUUAAUAUUUAAAUCUGAAACAAUUAAUGAAAAUUAAAUUCGGAAAUUAAUUUUAAUAGAGAUUAAAUUAGUGCCAGCAAUAGCGGUUAAACUAAAUUCUAUAAAUUAUUCAUUAUUAAUUUUUAAUAAAUUUUAUUAAUAUAUAUAUAUAUAUAAUUAAUUAAAUAAAUAAUUAAAUUUAUGAUGAAAUAAAUAAUUUUAUUUAAUAUUUAAUUUUAAUUAAUAAAUUUAUUUUUAAAUUUUAUUAAAAACUAGGAUUAGAUACCCUAUUAUAAAAAUUAAAAUUUAAAUUAAUAAUUAAAUGUAAAUCAUUAAAAUUAAAUAAUUUGGCGGCUUAAAAUUUAAUUAGGGAAACUUGUUUAUUAAUUUGAUAAUCCACGUUAAGAUAAACUUAAAUUAUAUUUAUGUAUUGUUGUUUUAAAAUUUUAUAUAAAUAUAUUUAUUCAAAUAUUUUAUAAAAUAAAAAUUCAAAUCAAAAUGUAGUUUAUUUAAGAUUAAAAUGAGUUACAAUAAAAUAAAAUUUUGGAUAAUUAAUUUUAAAAUUAAUUUAAAAUAGAAUUUAAAAGUAAAUUUAUUAAAAUUAAAUAAAUUGAAUUUUAAUUUUUAAGUGUACAAAUUGCCCGUCAAUUUCAUUAUAAAUGGAGUAAGUCGUAACAUAGUAAGUGUACUGGAAAGUGUACUUAGAAUUAA
rnacentral:ncRNA from 1 species